rnacentral:rRNA from 1 species
ACGGGAGGCAGCAGUGGGGAAUAUUGGGCAAUGGGCGCAAGCCUGACCCAGCAACGCCGCGUGAAGGAAGAAGGUUUUCGGAUUGUAAACUUCUGUCCUUGGUGACGAACACAAUGACGGUAACCAAGGAGGAAGCCCCGGCUAACUACGUGCCAGCAGCCGCGGUAAUACGUAGGGGGCAAGCGUUGUCCGGAAUGACUGGGCGUAAAGGGCGUGUAGGCGGCCUGAUAAGUCUGGAGUGAAAGUCCUGCUUUUAAGGUGGGAAUUGCUUUGGAGACUGUCGGGCUUGAGUGCGGAAGAGGUAAGUGGAAUUCCCAGUGUAGCGGUGAAAUGCGUAGAGAUUGGGAGGAACACCAGUGGCGAAGGCGACUUACUGGGCCGUAACUGACGCUGAGGCGCGAAAGCGUGGGGAGCGAACAGGAUUAGAUACCCUGGUA